rnacentral:rRNA from 1 species
GAUGAACGCUGGCGGCGUGCCUAAUACAUGCAAGUCGAGCGAACGGACGAGAAGCUUGCUUCUCUGAUGUUAGCGGCGGACGGGUGAGUAACACGUGGAUAACCUACCUAUAAGACUGGGAUAACUUCGGGAAACCGUAGCUAAUACCGGAUAAUAUUUUGAACCGCAUGGUUCAAAAGUGAAAGACGGUCUUGCUGUCACUUAUAGAUGGAUCCGCGCUGCAUUAGCUAGUUGGUAAGGUAACGGCUUACCAAGGCAACGAUGCAUAGCCGACCUGAGAGGGUGAUCGGCCACACUGGAACUGAGACACGGUCCAGACUCCGACGGGAGGAAGCAGUAGGGAAUCUUCCGCAAUGGGCGAAAGCCUGACGGAGCAACGCCGCGUGAGUGAUGAAGGUCUUCGGAUCGUAGAACUCUGUUAUUAGGGAAGAACAUAUGUGUAAGUAACUGUGCACAUCUUGACGGUACCUAAUCAGAAAGCCACGGCUAACUACGUG